rnacentral:rRNA from 1 species
UGGGGAAUCUUCCGCAAUGGGCGAAAGCCUGACGGAGCAACGCCGCGUGAGUGAAGACGGCCUUCGGGUUGUAAAGCUCUGUUAUAUGGGACGAACGGGUGUAUGGUCAAUACCCAUACGCCGUGACGGUACCGUAAGAGAAAGCCACGGCUAACUACGUGCCAGCAGCCGCGGUAAUACAUAGGUGGCAAGCGUUGUCCGGAAUCAUUGGGCGUAAAGGGCGCGCAGGCGGUUCGGUAAGUCGGUCUUAAAAGUGCGGGGCUUAACCCCGUGAUGGGAUUGAAACUGCCGGACUGGAGUGUCGGAGAGGAAAGCAGAAUUCCUAGUGUAGCGGUGAAAUGCGUAGAUAUUAGGAGGAAUACCAGUGGCGAAAGCGGCUUUCUGGACGACAACUGACGCUGAGGCGCGAAAGCCAGGGGAGCAAACGGGAUUAGAUACCCCGGUAGUCCUG